rnacentral:rRNA from 1 species
UGGGGAAUAUUGGACAAUGGGGGGAACCCUGAUCCAGCCAUGCCGCGUGUGUGAAGAAGGACUUAUGGUUGUAAAGCACUUUAAGCGAGGAGGAGGGUACUGGUAUUAAUACUACCAGGUACUGGACGUUACUCGCAGAAUAAGCACCGGCUAACUCUGUGCCAGCAGCCGCGGUAAUACAGAGGGUGCGAGCGUUAAUCGGAUUUACUGGGCGUAAAGCGUGCGUAGGCGGCUAAUUGAGUCGGAUGUGAAAUCCCCGAGCUUAACUUGGGAAUUGCAUUCGAUACUGGUUAGCUAGAGUGUGGGAGAGGAUGGUAGAAUUCCAGGUGUAGCGGUGAAAUGCGUAGAGAUCUGGAGGAAUACCGAUGGCGAAGGCAGCCAUCUGGCCUAACACUGACGCUGAGGUACGAAAGCAUGGGGAGCAAACAGG